rnacentral:rRNA from 1 species
GGGCCGCACGCGCGCUACACUGAUGAAGUCAACGAGUUUAUAACCUUGGCCGGAAGGUCUGGGUAAUCUUUUGAAACUUCAUCGUGCUGGGGAUAGAGCAUUGCAAUUAUUGCUCUUGAACGAGGAAUUCCUAGUAAGCGUGAGUCAUCAGCUCGCGUUGAUUACGUCCCUGCCCUUUGUACACACCGCCCGUCGCUACUACCGAUUGAAUGGCUUAGUGAGUCCUUUGGAUUGAUGAACGUAGAGUGGCAACACUCUUGGUUUCAAUGAGAAGUUGGGCAAACUUGGUCAUUUAGAGGAAGUAAAAGUCGUAACAAGGUUUCCGUAGGUGAACCUGCGGAAGGAUCAUUAAAGUAUGAUAUUUGAAUUCUCUUUGGGAGUUCAAAACCAUCUGAUAUUGUGAUAUUAUUGAAAAAUUAAAUUUGGAUUUAAAGAUGAUAUUUUCUUUGUUUAAAAACAAAUGUUUGAAGACAAAGAAAGUAUCGAUCCAAUAUUUUGAUCAACUCUCUUAUUAUUUUGACUGAAUUUAAUCAAGUUUUAAUCCAAUUUGGAUUAAAAAAAAAAGUUUUAAAUAACUUUCAACAACGGAUCUCUUGGUUCUCGCAUCGAUGAAGAACGCAGCGAAAUGCGAUACGUAAUGUGAAUUGCAGAUUGUGAAUCAUCGAAUCUUUGAACGCAUAUUGCACUCUUUGGUAUUCCGAGGAGUAUGCUUGUUUCAGUAUCAUGAAAAUCUCACUAAUGAAACUUUUUUGUUUCAUACAGGUGGACUUGGAUUUGCGAUUGUUACAAUUGCUAAUCUAAAAUGAAUUUCAUGAAGCUUAAAUAUGCUUUGAAUCUUUUGCUUAAUAGUUUUGCUUUGUCAAAUCUUUUGCAAUUAGAUUCAAAUCCAAAAAGUGGAUUGAUUUUACGAAAUCAUACCUUCAUUUUUUGAUCUGAAAUCAAGUAGGAUUACCCGCUGAACUUAAGCAUAUCAAUAAGCGGAGGAAAAGAAACUAACAAGGAUUCCCUCAGUAACGGCGAGUGAAGCGGGAAGAGCUCAAAUUUAAAAUCUGGCGUAAGCCCGAGUUGUAGUCUAUAGAAGUGUUUUCCUUUGAGUACCGAGAUACAAGUCUUCUGGAAAGAAGCAUCAUAGAGGGUGAGAAUCCCGUCCAUGAUCUCGAGUGGCUUGAUUUUGUGAUACACUUUCUAAGAGUCAGGUUGUUUGGGAAUGCAGCCUAAAAUGGGUGGUAAAUUUCAUCUAAAGCUAAAUAUUGGCGAGAGACCGAUAGCGAACAAGUACCGUGAGGGAAAGAUGAAAAGAACUUUGAAAAGAGAGUUAAACAGUACGUGAAAUUGUUGAAAGGGAACCGUUUGAAACCAGUCAGCUGGCUUGUAAUCAAUCUAUCCAUUGGAUGGAUGCACUUGCAAGUUUGCUUGUCAAUGUCAGUUUGGUGAGUUGGAAAAAGACCUUUGAAAUGUGGCUAUCUUCGGGUAGUGUUAUAGUCAUGGGUGAAAUACAACUUACUGGACUGAGGAAUGCAGUUGAAAUGUCGGCCUUGUGGUGUUUAGUGUGAAGGUUGGAUAGACAAUUUAUUGACUAUGCUUCUGGAGUGCUAAUAGCCAUUUUGGCUCCUGAUCAGCUUAGG